AUGUCGCGAGAGUUCACCAGGCCUACAACCGCCAAAGAAAGGUUACUUUUCCCGGAAGUAACGUCAAUCGAAACCGCUGGGGAUCCUGGGUACCUUCGUUGCUGCAAGCUGGAGAUGCGGCAGGAGGCGCUGAGGGCCAGGGGCGGGAGCACGGCGGCAGCUGUGGCCGGUGGAGCUCCCCGUGUCACGCGGGCGCCACACACCCCAUGUCCGGGCGGAGACGCAGUGCCUGCGGCCAGAAGGCCAGGAAUUCAACCAUACAUAUUCGCCCUCAGCGUGCCCUUCCCGACCCCUUUGGAGGCGGAAAUCGCCCAUGGGUCCCUGGCUCCAGAUGCCGAACCCCACCGAAGGGCGGUUGGGAAGGAUCUUACAGUGAGUGGCCGUAUCCUUGCGGUCCGCUGGAAAGCUGAAGACUCUCGCCUGCUCCGAAUUUCCAUCAUCAACUUCCUUGACCAGCUUUCCCUGGUGGUGCGGACCAUGCAGCGCUUGGGGCCUCCUGUUUCUCGCUAAGCCUAGGCUGGGAAAAGGAGCGGAGGUCUGACCUUGUGUCUCCUAGGAAGUGUAUCGUUCCUUAGGGCAAAGAUUCCCACAGCAGUUGCUACUUUAGUGUGGGGGCCUAAGGUUUGCCUGUAUCGGCUCUUGGGUGCUCAGGGUGCCCUUGCCCUUGUUUUGUUUGGUGGUUAAAUGUUU